GGUGAGUAAAGCGUGGGUAAUUUAGCUCCGAAUCGGGGAGAACACCGCGAAAAGUGUGCUAAUACCGGAUAAUAUCUUGUGACCCAGGUCAUCAAGAUCAAAGGUGGCCUCUACGAGUAAGCUCCGUAUGUAGAUGAGCCCGUNUGCCAUCAGCCUGUUGGCAGGGGUAAUAAGCCCACCCCGGCUACGAUCGGCUAGCAUGGUCUGAGAGGACGAUCAGCCACACUGGAACUGAGACACAGCCCAAGACUCCUACGGGAGGCAGCACGUGGGGAAUCUCAGACAGANGGGCGCAAGCCUAGNUCUACCCAUNGCCGCGUGUGUGAUGAAGGUCUUAGGACCGUAAAGCACUUUCGCCAGGGAUAGAUAACGACAGUCCCUAGGACAAGAAACCCCGGCUAACCCCGAGCCAGCAGCCCGCGGAAAUACCGGACGGGGGAGAGCGGG
rnacentral:rRNA from 1 species